rnacentral:rRNA from 3 species
UAAGUCUCCUGAAGGAACGUUAAAGACGAUGACGUUGAUAGGCCGGGUGUGUAAGCGCAGCGAUGCGUUGAGCUAACCGGUACUAAUGAACCGUGAGGCUUAACCUUACAACGCCGAAG